AUGCUGGAACACGAAAUCAUGGAGUGAGCCCGCGGGUGCUAAGGUCCGCGGACGAGAGGGAAAGAACCCGGACCACCGGCUAAGGUCCCGGAUGGACAGUUAAGUUGAUCAAACGAGGUGGGAUCGCUGAGACAGCUAGGAUGUUGGCUUGGAAGCAGCCAUUCAUUUAAAGAGUGCGUAACAGCUCACUAGUCGAGCGAUCCCGCGUGGAUAAUACACGGGCAUCAAACUGUCAACCGAAGCCGUGGGGUUAGUGAUGAGCUAACCGGUAGGAGAGCAUUCCUGCCAGCUUUGAAGGUCACCCGCGAGAGUGACUGGAGCGGCAUGAAAAGCAAAUGUAGGCAUAAGUAACGAUAAUGGGGGCGAGAACCCCCCACGCCGCAAGACCAAGGAUUCCCCGGCAAUGUCAAUCAGCCGGGGGUCAGCCGGCCUCUAAGGCUAACCCGAACGGGGACGCCGACGAGAAACGGGUUAACAUUCCCGUGCUUCUCGUCACCGUGACGCGGUGACGGGGUGAUGAAUGGACCGCGCGCUGACGGAAUAGCGCGUUGAAGGCCGUACCCUAUGACGGUGGUAGUCAAGCACGCCACCGGAGGCGAGAGCCGAUAGUACCACGAGACCCCGGUCGAGUGGAUAGCGUCCAGGCAAUUUACCCCCUAGAAAACCCGCUAAACUUCAAGUGACGAGGAACCGUACUGUAAACGGACACACGUGGUCGGGUAGAACAUACCAAGGCGCUCGAGUGAUUCAUGGUCAAGGAACUAGGCAAAAUAGUCCUGUAACUUAGGGAUAAAGGACGCUCUAGUGAUAGAGCCGCAGAGUAAUGGCCCAGGCGACUGUUUACCAAAAACACAUGGCUAUGCCAAAUCGAAAGAUGACGUAUAUGGCCUGACACCUGCCCGGUGCCGGAAGGUUAAG
rnacentral:rRNA from 1 species